rnacentral:rRNA from 1 species
CAAUAGCGUAUAUUAAAGUUGUUGCAGUUAAAAAGCUCGUAGUUGGAUUUCUGGUGGGAGCGAUCGGUCUGGCGCUUAGCGCGAGUACUUGCAUCGUCUCCGGCCAUCCUUGGGGAGAGUCUGUCUGGCAUUAAGUUGUCGGGCAGAGGAUCCUCAUCGUUUACUGUGAAAAAAUUAGAGUGUUCAAAGCAGGCUUAUGCCGUUGAAUAUGUUAGCAUGGAAUAAUAAGAUAGGACUUUGGUACUAUUUUGUUGGUUUGCGCACCAAAGUAAUGAUUAAUAGGGACAGUUGGGGGUAUUCGUAUUCCGUUGUCAGAGGUGAAAUUCUUGGAUUUACGGAAGACGAACUACUGCGAAAGCAUUUACCAAGGAUGUUUUCAUUAA